rnacentral:rRNA from 1 species
UCCGGUGAGAAUGACGGAGAGGAUACACCUGUUCCCAUCCCGAACACAGAAGUUAAGCUCUCUUGUGCCGAGGAUACUAGCUUGGAGACGAGCUGGAAAAGUAGGUACUCGCCGGAU